UCCCAUGUGGUCCAGUGGUUAGGACUCAGUGCUUCCAUUACUGUGGGCCGGGGUUCAAUCCCUGGUCAGGGAA
rfam:TPA: Bos taurus chromosome 6, whole genome shotgun sequence.